rnacentral:tRNA from 1 species
CCCUGGUUGCUCAGACGGUGAAGCAUCUGCCUGUAAUGCAGGAGACCCAGGUUCGAUCCCUGGGUCAGGAA